GGAAAUGAGAAUACGUUAAAAUGUGGGGCUAGCAACACGAACCGUGUAGUAAUAGCUUUUAAAGGCGAUAAAUUCCGUUCGUUCUCUCCGUAACCCUGGCGUUGAUCACUAAUUUACAAAAAAAUGAAUUCUGUAAUUCAAGGACUUUCCUGAGGCUCAGACGUUAAAGAAUAUGCCUGCUAUGUAGGAGACCCGGGUUCGAUCCCUGGAUCGGGAAGCUCCCCUGGAGAAGGAAAUGGCAACCCACUCCAAUAUUCUUGCCUGGAAAACCCCAUGGACAGAGGAGUCUGGCGGGGAGUUCAGUCCAUAGGGUCACGAAGAGUCGGACACGACUGAGCUACUAACACUGUAACUCAACAUCAUUACACGAGAGUGAUCAACAUUUGAGUCUGAGAGCCAAUCACUGAGCCAGCAAAUUCUCUGUGCUAAGUCUUGGACACAGAAUCAGACUACGCUCCGAGAGGCUCACGUCGGAUGGGAGAAGUCAGAGCCGGAAACAAGGAAGUGUUCCGCAAACCGCUAACGGAUCUUCGUUGUGGCAUACAAGUUUCUCCAGUUGCAGAUGUGGGAUCUUAGUUCCCUGACCAGGGAUUGAACCCAUGUCCUCUGCUUUUGAAGGUGGAUUGUUAACCACUGGACCACCAAUGAACUCCUGUACCAGAUGAUCCCUAAAGAUACUUCUGCUUCUGAUUUAUGAAGACUCAGCUACUUGUCUCUCAAGGCCUACAUACUACUGCCCCAAAGGGCAGUGAGCAGAGGCUUCUGAGAUCAUUUCAGGAGAGUGAAACAAACAAGAUAAUACAUCAACUACAAACAAACUCAAGAUUCUUGGGAAGUGGGGCUUGACAUGAACAGAGCUGAAGAGCCCAGGAUGACUAUUAAAUAUAACUAAUGGCUUUUCUGCAUCAGAAUUUCUUGCUUCAAAUCCCAAGCAAAAGAUCAAGAGAAACAGGCUAGCUUUUCAACUGCUAAAUUCUCUCAGUAACUCUCUCAGGUAAAAUUAUUCCAGGAGCUUUGUUCUGCCCCCAGUUUCUUUCCCUUUGAAGUACUGGUUUUCCAUUAACAAGGGAGCCUUGCAAAAUCAAACACUCCGUGAUCAGACAUUUCAUAGUCUACAAUGGGGGCCCAGCUACUCUCAGGUCAAAGUUGGGUUUCUUUCUUUUCUAAAAAAAUUGUCUUCCUUGGAUCUUAAUUGUGGCAUGUGGGAUCAUCAUUUGGGUUCGUGGAUUCUAGUUUAGGGGGCACCUGGGCUCCAUAAGUUGUGGCAUGUGGGAUCUUAGUUCCCAUCAGGGAUGGAACCCAUGUUCCCUGCAUUACAAGGCAGAUUCAAAUUACACGAGGAAUAAAC
ensembl:lncRNA